rnacentral:rRNA from 1 species
UACGUAGGGUGCGAGCGUUAAUCGGAAUUACUGGGCGUAAAGCGUGCGCAGGCGGUGAUGUAAGACCGAUGUGAAAUCCCCGGGCUUAACCUGGGAACUGCAUUGGUGACUGCAUUGCUGGAGUAUGGCAGAGGGGGGUGGAAUUCCACGUGUAGCAGUGAAAUGCGCAGAUAUUGGGAGGAACACCAAUGGCGAAGGCAGCACCCUGGGCCGGUACUGACGCUGAGGAGCGAAAGCGUGGGGAGCAAACAGG